rnacentral:rRNA from 1 species
CCCAGACUCCUACGGGAGGCAGCAGUGGGGAAUAUUGCACAAUGGGGGAAACCCUGAUGCAGCGACGCCGCGUGAGUGAAGAAGUAUUUCGGUAUGUAAAGCUCUCUCAGCAGGGAAGAUAAUGACGGUACCUGAGUAAGAAGCCCCGGCUAACUACGUGCCAGCAGCCGCGGUAAUACGUAGGGGGCAAGCGUUAUCCGGAUUUACUGGGUGUAAAGGGAGCGUAGACGGCAUGGCAAGUCUGAAGUGAAAGCCCGGGGCUCAACCGCGGGACUGCUUUGGAAACUGUUAAGCUGGAGUGCAGGAGAGGUAAGUGGAAUUCCUAGUGUAGCGGUGAAAUGCGUAGAUAUUAGGAGGAACACCAGUGGCGAAGGCGGCUUACUGGACUGUAACUGACGUUGAGGCUCGAAAGCGUAGGGAGCAAACAGGAUUAGAUACCCGGGUA